UACGUAGGGGGCAAGCGUUGUCCGGAAUCAUUGGGCGUAAAGAGCGUGUAGGCGGCCCGGUAAGUCUGUUGUGAAAGUCCAGGGCUCAACCCUGGAAAGCCGAUGGAUACUGCCGGGCUAGAGUUCGGAAGAGGCGAGUGGAAUUCCUGGUGUAGCGGUGGAAUGCGCAGAUAUCAGGAGGAACACCAACGGCGAAGGCAGCUCGCUGGGACGGUACUGACGCUGAGGCGCGAAAGCGUGGGGAGCGAACAGG
rnacentral:rRNA from 1 species